rnacentral:tRNA from 1 species
AUUAAUAUGGCAGAUUAGUGCAUUGAAUUUAAAAUUCAAUAAAAAAGUUUUUUACUCUUUUAUUAAUA